rnacentral:tRNA from 1 species
GGAAGCGUGGCCGAGAGGCCGAAGGCAGCGGCUUGCUAAGCCGUAGCUCCGCAAGUGGCCGCUGGUUCGAAUCCAGCCGCUUCCGCCA